AUGACUAAUAUGAACUACUGAGGAACAAUGGGAGAUUAGAUCGCAUAGAGUUCAAUUCCCGUUCUCAACCCAUGACCAAUAUGAACUCAAAGUUUCCUUCAAAACCCUCGUUGCUCCGUUCGAUGCCUAAUUUAAUAGGGAACCUCAAAGCGGCUCUAUUUCAUUCUAUUCCAUACAUAUCCCAAUUCCAUUCAUUUAAUAUC
rnacentral:sRNA from 1 species